UACGUAGGGGGCGAGCGUUAAUCGGAAUUACUGGGCGUAAAGCGUGCGCAGGCGGUUUUGUAAGCCAGAUGUGAAAGCCCCGGGCUUAACCUGGGAAUGGCAUUUGGGACUGCAAGGCUGGAGUGCGGCAGAGGAGACUGGAAUUCCUGGUGUAGCAGUGAAAUGCGUAGAUAUCAGGAGGAAUACCGGUGGCGAAGGCGGGUCUCUGGGCCGUAACUGACGCUGAGGAGCGAAAGCAUGGGGAGCGAACAGG
rnacentral:rRNA from 1 species